GCUUGAUGAGCUGUUCAUUUUCUUUCGAUGUUUUUUGAUCCUUCAUCUUGAUUUACAGACACUCAGCAUCAAUUCAGUGCAAACAAAAGUGAUUGUGGCAUCAUUCAUUAAUUUCAGGGGAUUAGGGAAAAUAGAUAAAGCUUUUAUUCCACUGCUGGAAGAAGUCUGUUUGUGGCAUCCUUCGUUGAUUAGCUGCCAAAGGAAAAGAAGUCGCAUGUUUAGUGAAUGGGCAUUCACAGCUUUAUUAGGUCUGGAUCAACUUCGCUCUGGACUUCUUCAGCA